AUGAGCAUCAGAGUUUGGAGUGAGAUAAAACUGGACCAGUCUCCAUCGCAGGUGAAAACACCUGGAGGGACGGUGAAGAUGUCAUGUGUCAUAUCUGGGUACUCCAUGACUUCCUACAAUAUACACUGGAUACGGCAGAGGCCGGGGGAAGCUUUGGAGUGGAACGGGUGGAUGAACACAGGUUCAAACUCUGCCACCUAUGGCAGCUCCUUUCAAAACCGUUUCAUCAUGACUGAGGAUGUUUCCAGCAGCACUCAGUUCCUUCAGGUCGAGAGUCUGAAAGCAGAAGAUGCUGCUGUUUACUACUGUGCUCGAGACCCACAGUGA